rnacentral:rRNA from 1 species
UACGUAGGGUGCAAGCGUUGUCCGGAAUUAUUGGGCGUAAAGAGUUCGUAGGCGGUUUGUCGCGUCGGCUGUGAAAACCUGGGGCUCAACCCCGGGCCUGCAGCCGAUACGGGCAAACUAGAAUUCGGUAGGGGAGACUGGAAUUCCUGGUGUAGCGGUGGAAUGCGCAGAUAUCAGGAGGAACACCGGUGGCGAAGGCGGAUCUCUGGGCCAUAACUGACGCUGAGGAGCGAAAGCAUGGGGAGCGAACAGG